GUGGUUGUAGCUCAGUUGGUUAGAGCGCUGGAUUGUGGUUCCACAGGUCGUGGGUUCGAGACCCAUCUCCCACCCA
rnacentral:tRNA from 1 species